UAACCGGGCGUUAAGUUGCAGGGUAUAGACCCGAAACCCGGUGAUCUAGCCAUGGGCAGGUUGAAGGUUGGGUAACACUAACUGGAGGACCGAACCGACUAAUGUUGAAAAAUUAGCGGAUGACUUGUGGCUGGGGGUGAAAGGCCAAUCAAACCGGGAGAUAGCUGGUUCUCCCCGAAAGCUAUUUAGGUAGCGCCUCGUGAAUUCAUCUCCGGGGGUAGAGCACUGUUUCGGCAAGGGGGUCAUCCCGACUUACCAACCCGAUGCAAACUGCGAAUACCGGAGAAUGUUAUCACGGGAGACACACGGCGGGUGCUAACGUCCGUCGUGAAGAGGGAAACAACCCAGACCGCCAGCUAAGGUCCCAAAGUCAUGGUUAAGUGGGAAACGAUGUGGGAAGGCCCAGACAGCCAGGAUGUUGGCUUAGAAGCAGCCAUCAUUUAAAGAAAGCGUAAUAGCUCACUGGUCGAGUCGGCCUGCGCGGAAGAUGUAACGGGGCUAAACCAUGCACCGAAGCUGCGGCAGCGACACUGUGUGUUGUUGGGUAGGGGAGCGUUCUGUAAGCCUGUGAAGGUGUGCUGUGAGGCAUGCUGGAGGUAUCAGAAGUGCGAAUGCUGACAUAAGUAACGAUAAAGCGGGUGAAAAGCCCGCUCGCCGGAAGACCAAGGGUUCCUGUCCAACGUUAAUCGGGGCAGGGUGAGUCGACCCCUAAGGCGAGGCCGAAAGGCGUAGUCGAUGGGAAACAGGUUAAUAUUCCUGUACUUGGUGUUACUGCGAAGGGGGGACGGAGAAGGCUAUGUUGGCCGGGCGACGGUUGUCCCGGUUUAAGCGUGUAGGCUGGUUUUCCAGGCAAAUCCGGAAAAUCAAGGCUGAGGCGUGAUGACGAGGCACUACGGUGCUGAAGCAACAAAUGCCCUGCUUCCAGGAAAAGCCUCUAAGCAUCAGGUAACAUCAAAUCGUACCCCAAACCGACACAGGUGGU
rnacentral:rRNA from 1 species